rnacentral:pre_miRNA from 8 species
UACCUUGCCAGCUAAUUAGCGGUGGCCAGUGUCAUUUUUGUGAUGUUGCAGCUAGUAAUAUGAGCCCAGUUGCAUAGUCACAAAAGUGAUCAUUGGAAACUGUGACUGUCCUGCAGGGGGC